UACAGAGGAGCCAAGCGUUGUCCGGAUUGACUGGGCGUAAAGCGCACGCAGGCGGGUGCGCGCGUGGGGGGUGAAAUCUGGCCGCUUAACGGCCAGGCGCCAUCCCAUACGGCGCGCCUGGAGCCUUGCAGAGGUCGGUGGAAUUGCCGGUGUAGCGGUGAAAUGCGUAGAUAUCGGGAGGAACACCUGAGGCGAAGGCGGGCUACUGGGCCGAUACUGACGCUGAUGCGCGAAAGCCAGGGGAGCGAACGGG
rnacentral:rRNA from 1 species